GAUGAACGCUGGCGGCGUGCCUAAUACAUGCAAGUCGAGCGAACAGACGAGGAGCUUGCUCCUCUGACGUUAGCGGCGGACGGGUGAGUAACACGUGGAUAACCUACCUAUAAGACUGGGAUAACUUCGGGAAACCGGAGCUAAUACCGGAUAAUAUAUUGAACCGCAUGGUUCAAUAGUGAAAGACGGUUUUGCUGUCACUUAUAGAUGGAUCCGCGCCGCAUUAGCUAGUUGGUAAGGUAACGGCGUACCAAGGCAACGAUGCGUAGCCGACCUGAGAGGGUGAUCGGCCACACUGGAACUGAGACACGGUCCAGACUCCUACGGGAGGCAGCAGUAGGGAAUCUUCCGCAAUGGGCGAAAGCUUGACGGAGCAACGCCGCGUGAGUGAUGAAGGUCUUCGGAUCGUAAAACUCUGUUAUUAGGGAAGAACAAAUGUGUAAGUAACUAUGCACGUCUUGACGGUACCUAAUAAGAAAGCCACGGCUAACUACGUG
rnacentral:rRNA from 1 species